rnacentral:rRNA from 1 species
GAUGAACGCUGGCGGCGUGCCUAAUACAUGCAAGUCGAGCGAACAGACCAGGAGCUUGCUCCUCCGACGUUAGCGGCGGACGGGUGAGUAACACGUGGAUAACCUACCUCUAAGACUGGUAUAACUUCGCGGAACCAGAGCUAAUACCAGAUAAUAUAUUGAACCGCAUGGUUCCAUCGUGAGAUUCGGUUUUGCUUUCGCUUAUGGAUGGAUCCGCGCCGGAUUAGCUAGUUGGUAAGGUGAAGGCUUAGCAACGCUACGAUGCGUAGACGACCUCAGGGGGUCGUCGCACAGCCGGGAAGUGAGGCACGUUCGAGACACCGACGGGGGGCCGCAGUAGGGAAUCUUACGCGAGGGGCGAAUGCGUGACGGAGCAAAGUCGGGUGAGGGAUGAAGGACUUCUGCUGGGAAAGCGAUGUAAUUAGUGAAGUACUAAUGUGUUUGUACCCGGGAACGUAAUGACGGUACCGAAAGAGAAAGCCCCGGCUAACUACGUG